UUGAAUUUGGGGACUUAUGGUUGGAUGCUGUUAUGCUGGCCCUCAGGGCAAUGUGCACGCAAUCUAGCCAUAUGUUUCUUUUAUUCCACUGUGCACUGCUGUAGACACACACAAAUGUGUCUAUGAAUAUAUAUCAUACACUUUAUAUUUUGUAUGUUGGGAUGUUUAAUGUAUAAAAAAAUUA
rnacentral:misc_RNA from 1 species